rnacentral:piRNA from 1 species
UGGCUUGCACUGAUUUCUUCACAGAUACCUU